rnacentral:rRNA from 1 species
UACGUAGGAGGCAAGCGUUGUCCGGAUUUACUGGGCGUAAAGAGCGUGUAGGCGGCCACGCAGGUCCGUUGUGAAAACUGAAGGCUCAACCUCCAGACGUCGACGGAAACCGUAUGGCUAGAGUCCGGAAGAGGAGAGUGGAAUUCCUGGUGUAGCGGUGAAAUGCGCAGAUAUCAGGAAGAACACCAAUGGCGAAGGCAGCUCUCUGGGACGGUACUGACGCUGAGACGCGAAAGCGUGGGGAGCGAACAGG